UUGGUCACAUAUUGGUGCAUAAUUUUCUUUUUAAUCUAUUUAAAAAAGAAUUACUUCUUUUUUUGGGUAAUAUUUUAACUUUAAUUUUCCAUGUGACAUGUUUAAGAGCACAAGAUUAAAUGACAAUUUUGUAUAUUUGACAUAACUUUAAUCUAGAACCACAAAAUUUUUAAAAAAACUUAUUUAUUUUCUUAAACUUCGUAUCAUUCAAACUACGUCACGCUUUUUAAAACGAAGGGAGUAGAAGCCUUUAAGCAAACGACACUUGCAUUUUGCAAUCAGAUUGUCUUCUCUUAAACGACAUUUGCAUUUUGCAAUUAGAUACAAUAACAUGUAACAAACAUCUAUUUUCAAGUAUGACAUAGAAUAUAAAAAUGUAGCAAUAAAUUGUAUGAAAGAGUAGAAAACCUAAAUGAAGCAAACAUGAACAAAGUUUUGAAGGGAUGGGCAGGAAGAAAGGAAAGAAUGGGAGCAAACUACAAAUACAGAACAAGAUAAUUGGACACACGUAACUAGGAUCGGCAUCCAGCACACCAUUGAUCCAGUGAAAAGUUCUGAGUUUUUUGGUGAACCUCCUUCUAUUUCGGAGGAAUCCUUUACUUUUUUUCAGUAUUUUUAUUGUAAGUAUUAUUGGUGGUCUUGUACCGGAACUCCUCUUUGUUGUAGAGGCUUCAUAAAUAGUUAGCAAUUCAGUUUUCUUUACAUUAUUGUUCAGAUGUUAUUUAAGACUUAUGUUGCCAUUUUGGAUAAGUUUUAUAUAUCUUUAAAGUUAUGUUUUGA